CCUACGGGAGGCAGCAGUAAGGAAUAUUGGUCAAUGGGCGCAAGCCUGAACCAGCCAUGCCGCGUGCAGGAAGACGGCCCUAUGGGUUGUAAACUGCUUUUGAACAAGAGAAAACCUCGGUACGUGUACCGAGCUGAUAGUAUUGUUAGAAUAAGCAUCGGCUAACUUCGUGCCAGCAGCCGCGGUAAGACGAAGGAUGCAAGCGUUAUCCGGAUUCAUUGGGUUUAAAGGGUGCGUAGGCGGCCUGAUAAGUCAGUGGUGAAAUCUCUCAGCUUAACUGAGAAACUGCCAUUGAUACUGUCGGGCUUGAGUACAGAUGAUGUGGGCGGAAUAUGACAUGUAGUGGUGAAAUACUUAGAUAUGUCAUAGAACACCGAUUGCGAAAGGCAGCUCACAAAAACUGUAAACUGACGCUGAGGCACGAAAAGUGCGGGGAUCAAAACAGGAUUAGAUACCCUGGUAGUCCGCACCGUAAAACGAUGAUUACUCGUUGUUGGCAAUAUGACCGUCAGCGACCAAAGCGAAAAGCGAAGAAGUAAUACACCUACGGAGGACGACCGGCGACGACGAAACGAACAAANAAGAAGUUAGAGACGNGAGAGAGCGACGGACGACGACAGGGAGGAGGAG
rnacentral:rRNA from 1 species